UGAGAGAGAGAGAGAGAGAGAGAGAGAGAGAGAAACUUUGCAAAGGCUGUAGAUGAGGAGGGAGGAUUGGAGAGGGGGAGGAGAGAGGGAGGGAAGGAGGGGAGGCUUCUCUCUCUCUCUCUCUCUCUCUCUCUCUCUCUCU